rnacentral:lncRNA from 1 species
CUGUUACUGCAGGUUUGUGUUUGGAUACCUGAUGGUGUGUUUUGUCUCUCCUGCGUCUCCAGCACGAUCAGCUUUACACAUGGGCAGCCAUCUGUCAGCCUCCUCCGUCUCUGGAGAGUCUGGAGGGACACCUGAAGAGCCUGUGGCCCCUGACCAGACCCGGAGCCCAGGACCGGCCCCAACCCAAAUACACCGAGGAUGAGCAUCAGGCCAUUGUUUCAGACCUUAAAAAACAACAGGAAGAAGAAAUCCUGCAAAUUGAGGUAUGUCUCAUUUAUCUCUCGAAGGCCCUUAGUUUUUCCCCACAUUAAGGUCUAAAU